rnacentral:rRNA from 1 species
UGCCAGUAGUCAUAUGCUUGUCUCAAAGAUUAAGCCAUGCAUGUCUAAGUAUAAGCAAUCUAUACUGUGAAACUGCGAAUGGCUCAUUAAAUCAGUUAUCGUUUAUUUGAUAGUACCUUACUACAUGGAUACCUGUGGUAAUUCUAGAGCUAAUACAUGCUAAAAACCCCGACUUCGGGAGGGGUGUAUUUAUUAGAUAAAAAACCAAUGCCCCUCGGGGCUCCUUGGUGAAUCAUAAUAACUUAACGAAUCGCAUGGCCUUGCGCCGGCGAUGGUUCAUUCAAAUUUCUGCCCUAUCAACUUUCGAUGGUAGGAUAGUGGCCUACCAUGGUGGCAACGGGUAACGGGGAAUUAGGGUUCGAUUCCGGAGAGGGAGCCUGAGAAACGGCUACCACAUCCAAGGAAGGCAGCAGGCGCGCAAAUUACCCAAUCCCGACACGGGGAGGUAGUGACAAUAAAUACUGAUACGGGGCUCUUUUGGGUCUCGUAAUUGGAAUGAGUACAAUCUAAAUCCCUUAACGAGGAACAAUUGGAGGACAAGUCUGGU